CAGAACCUUACCAGGGCUUGACAUGGGAGGGCCGCGUCCAGAGAUGGGCGUUUCCGCAAGGACCCUCUGCACAGGUGCUGCAUGGCUGUCGUCAGCUCGUGUCAUUGAGAUGUUGGGUUAAGUCCCGCAACGAGCUGCAACCCUCGCCUUUAGUUGCCAGCACGUUUGGGUGGGCACUCUAAAGGAACUGCCGGUGACAAGCCGGGGGAAGGUGGGGAUGACGUCAAGUCCUCAUGGUCCUUAUGUCCUGGGCUACACACGUGCUACAAUGGCGGUGACAGUGGGAAGCCAUGCAGCGAUGCCGUGCUGAUCUCCAAAAGCCGUCUCAGUUUACAUUGCACUCUGCAACUCGAGUGCAUGAAGGUGGAAUCGCUAGUAAUCGCUGAUCAGCAUGCCGCUGUGAAUACGUUCCCGGGCCUUGUACACACCGCCCGUCACACCAUGGUAGUUGGUUCGACCUUAAACUGGUGCCCGAACCCCAAAGGUACGCACCCAACCACUGUCGGGUUAGCGACUGGGGUGAAGUCGUAACAAGGUAAGCCGUA
rnacentral:rRNA from 1 species